UACGUAGGGUGCAAGCGUUAAUCGGAAUUACUGGGCGUAAAGCGUGCGCAGGCGGCUUUGCAAGACAGAUGUGAAAUCCCCGGGCUUAACCUGGGAACUGCAUUUGUGACUGCAUGGCUAGAGUGCGGCAGAGGGGGAUGGAAUUCCGCGUGUAGCAGUGAAAUGCGUAGAGAUGUGGAGGAACACCGAUGGCGAAGGCAGCCUCCUGGGCCAGCACUGACGCUCAUGCACGAAAGCGUGGGGAGCAAACAGG
rnacentral:rRNA from 1 species